GCUGUUAUUAAAUGGGCUUAUCAAAGAGCCGCAAACUCAAGCAAUCUCCCGCAAUGUAUGUUAUCCGCCCUCUCAAGGCUGAAACACCGGUUCAAUUCCGGUUGGGAGCGCCA
rnacentral:tRNA from 1 species